UCAUACUUACACUAGAUGUGAUAGUUUUUGGGAUGUUCAAUUUAUUAGGCCAGAUGAGCAAACCCUAUCAAGAUGUAAUACAUUGUGGAUUACAGUACAGUAAUGUAUUACAGUCGUAUGCGACUGUGUCAUGUAGCACUUCAUUUAUUGAUGCUGCUGUUGUUUCUCCAGCUACAAGACAGGUCCUGCAACAUCGACACCCUUGAAGAGAAAACCUUUGCAAAUCCCAGCUCUAGCAUUGUCUAGCAUUGGUGCUUCUAGUGGAACAGACCGAGAUGAGCAUCUUGAUGUCAUUCCAGAAGCCACAGAAAUUCAGGGCCUUGAACAAAGCUUACAUGACAUGAGCAUUGUUGAGGAGGACUUGGAGGAAAAUGUUUUCAAUGACCCAAUGAACAGUGUGUAAGUAGUACUUCCUAAU